rnacentral:lncRNA from 1 species
CAGGCGCGACCAGAGGUCAGCCGCCCUGCAGAGGGAGAAAGAGAGAAGGAAAGAGACCUGGCCCACGAGCACACGCAACUAGGUCCAAGUGUCCUGCAAAGGAAGAAAGCAGACACACAGGCACGCGCGGCCAGAGACCAGAUGUCUUGAAAAGGGAGCGACUAAGCUAGCUUUGGGUACACUGGGCCAGCUCAAAACCGGCUGGCCGGUACGACCCAGGCACGCGUGAUAAAGGAUUUAGAGGCCAGGCCGGCGCAACCUUCCCCACAAACUCGGUCUCCCGCCCACCACCGCUGCCUGCCACCAGGGGGCACUCCCCGACCCAAGCAACGGAGAGUCACAGCUCAGAUCAGACAGGCCUGCACCUGGGCUCUUGCACCAGAGUUCGGAAACUGCCAAGUGACUCUGCUGGAGUUGGACAUGAAUAUAAUCCAGUACGUGGAGGCAGAAAGAGGAAGGAAGAUCAAGAGUUCAAGGAGGCUUGAGAGUGGGGGCAGAAGAAGAGAGAAGAGGCAAGAGAGGAGGAGAGAAGACAGAAGAGGAGGAAGCCUCCAUGGACCUGAACCACAUGGCCAGGAGAAACAAGUCACACAUGUAUGAAGAAGUACGAAGACUCCACGCACCGUUGCUUCUGCAGCCAUUUGCCAUAGAACCUAACAUAUUCCCAAAUCCCAACUUACUACUGCUAAGGAGAUCAGGACUCAGCCAUGCAACAGGACAGCACUGGGCAAUGAAACGGAGAACAUCCGGGUGGCUCAGCUGCUAAGAGAGCCUACAGCCAGGCCUGAUGACCUUCGUGCAAUUCUGAAAACUAACAUGAAGAAGUGAACUAGUUUCCAAGGGCUGUCCUCUGAUUUGCGCAUACAGUCAUGGUAAGAGUUAAAUAUCCCUGUCUCUCUCUGUGAGUUCAAGGUAGUAGAUCUCUGUGAGUUCAAGGCCACCCUUGUCUACCCAGAGUCCCAGAUCAGCCUGCUACAUAUACAUAGUAAGACCCUGUCUCAAAAAGCAAAUAACAAUAAAACAA